GAGUUUGAUCUUGGCUCAGGAUGAACGCUGGCGGCGUGCUUAACACAUGCAAGUCGAACGAGGAAUUUUAAAUGAGACUUCGGUGGAUUUUAAAAUUCUUAGUGGCGGACGGGUGAGUAACGCGUGGGCAACCUGCCCUGUACAGGGGGGACAACAGCUGGAAACGGCUGCUAAUACCGCAUAAGACCACGGAGCCGCAUGGCUCAGUGGGAAAAACUCCGGUGGUACAGGAUGGGCCCGCGUUGGAUUAGGUAGUUGGUGAGGUAACGGCCCACCAAGCCGACGAUCCAUAGCCGACCUGAGAGGGUGACCGGCCACGUUGGGACUGAGACACGGCCCAAACUCCUACGGGAGGCAGCAGUGGGGAAUCUUCCGCAAUGGGCGAAAGCCUGACGGAGCAACGCCGCGUGAGUGAAGAAUUAUUUCGGUAUGUAAAGCUCUAUCAGCAGGGAAGAAAAUGACGGUACCUGACUAAGAAGCCCCGGCUAACUACGUGCCAGCAGCCGCAGUAAC
rnacentral:rRNA from 1 species